rnacentral:rRNA from 2 species
AAAUUGAAGAGUUUGAUCAUGGCUCAGAUUGAACGCUGGCGGCAGGCCUAACACAUGCAAGUCGAACGGUAACAGGAAGCAGCUUGCUGCUUCGCUGACAAGUGGCGGACGGGUGAGUAAUGUCUGGGAAACUGCCUGAUGGAGGGGGAUAACUACUGGAAACGGUGGCUAAUACCGCAUAACGUCGCAAGACCAAAGAGGGGGACCUUCGGGCCUCUUGCCAUCAGAUGUGCCCAGAU